UCUCUGGUGGUCCAGUGGUUAGGACUCCACACUCUUGAUAUGGAGGGCGCUGGUUCAAUCCCUGGUCAGGGAA